UCAUCUAAUAAUAAUAAAACGAGGAUGGGAUGCUACAUUGGGAAUGGUCGG
rnacentral:tRNA from 3 species